rnacentral:ncRNA from 2 species
CCAAAGAAAGAAAUUGGCAUAGGGAUGCCCAAUAAAGGAAGCCGGUCUAAGUCCGGCGCUGCCCCGCAACUGUAAGCGGAACGAAAUCCACAUUUGUCCACUGAUGCUCAUUAUCGGGAAGGAGUGGAAAGUAGGUAGCCGCAAGCCAGGAAACUUUAUGGCGUCUCUAACUUACU